rnacentral:rRNA from 2 species
AGACAGGUGCUGCAUGGCUGUCGUCAGCUCGUGUUGUGAAAUGUUGGGUUAAGUCCCGCAACGAGCGCAACCCUUAUCCUUUGUUGCCAGCGGUCCGGCCGGGAACUCAAAGGAGACUGCCAGUGAUAAACUGGAGGAAGGUGGGGAUGACGUCAAGUCAUCAUGGCCCUUACGAGUAGGGCUACACACGUGCUACAAUGGCGCAUACAAAGAGAAGCGACCUCGCGAGAGCAAGCGGACCUCAUAAAGUGCGUCGUAGUCCGGAUUGGAGUCUGCAACUCGACUCCAUGAAGUCGGAAUCGCUAGUAAUCGUGGAUCAGAAUGCCACGGUGAAUACGUUCCCGGGCCUUGUACACACCGCCCGUCACACCAUGGGAGUGGGUUGCAAAAGAAGUAGGUAGCUUAACCUUCGGGAGGGCGCUUACCACUUUGUGAUUCAUGACUGGGGUGAAGUCGUAACAAGGUAACCGUAGGGGAACCUGCGGUUGGAUCACCUCCUU